rnacentral:rRNA from 1 species
GAAGCUGGAAUUGCUAGUAAUGGCAGGUCAGCAUACUGCCGUGAAUACGUUCCCGGGCCCUUGUACACACCGCCCGUCACACCAUGAGAGUUGGAAAUACCCGAAGCCUGUGAGCUAACUGUAAAGAGGCAGCAGUCGAAGGUAGAGCCAAUGAUUGGGGUGAAGUCGUAACAAGGUAAC